rnacentral:rRNA from 1 species
CUGGGGUAUCUUGCGCUUGGGCGCAGUCUGAUCCAGCAAUGCCGCGUGAGUGAUGACGGUUUUCGGGUUGUAAGCUCUGUUGUUAGGGAAGAAGCUGUGCCGUUCUAUUUGGUUGGCCCUUGGCCGUUCCUUUACGGAAAGGCGACCGCUGAUUUCAGGCCGCAGCCGCGGUAAUCAA